AAUAGAGAGAGAGAGAGAGAGAGAGAGAGAGAGAGAGAGAGAGAGAGAGAGAGAGAGAGAUAACUUUGAUGAUUAUGGUCCCCUGUUUUGGCCCUCUCUCUCUUCCACUUCUCUUCUUCUUUCUCUCUCUUAUCCCCCUUUCUCUCUCUAGGU
rnacentral:miRNA from 1 species